UCUAUCUUGCUUCUUCCUUCCUUCGACUAUAAAAGAAAACAUCCUGAGUGAGCAUGUGACAGGUGGGGUGAGUUACACAGGACCUCUAUCUUGCUUCUUCCUUCCUUCGACUAUAAAAGGAAGAGGAGCUUAAGCAUAUUUGACACCGGGACCCUAACAAAACAGCAAACGCCUUCUCUGCUUGCUCGACGACGGAUGGCGGGGGCCGGGGGAAUCACCAAUGCUAUGAACGUAGGGGUCGCCGUCUAGGCCGACUGGGAGAACCGCGAAUUCAUGGCCAACGCUUCGAUUUCCUCCUGCAAUUCGGGCUAUUCAACCCCCGUUCUAGCCGGCCAACGGUCCCAACAAGUGGUAUCAGAGUCAGAACGACUCAGAAGGAAUAACCACCGACUGAAGCAACGAGAUGGUCACAGCUAACAUUUACCCACCAAUGUUCGAGGGGGAGUUCGCAUUUUGGAAGCGACGAAUGGAGCUAGAUGACAGGGAGACGGGUCUCGGAGGGUGGUUACCAGGAGACGGCGGCGGCAGCAGCAGCACCGGCGGUGUAUGGGCUUUCUGAGACAGGCAGCCGAGGAGGAAGAGGAGAGAGGUGGAGUAGGGGAGGAUUGCAUAUCCACAAUCUUGCUCUCUUUUCACUUGCGGUUUGUGGAUUUGGCGGCGGUGGUGAGAACACGAAUGCUGGCAAGGGAGCAGCGCACGCUGCCGCUAUUGUAAAUUUGUGUGGAUUUGAUCACAACAUUAGCCACCGAUUGCAAUUAUAAUGAUGAUUCGUGUUUGCUUUAUGAAAUAGAAUAACACAAAUCGAGUAUUUGUAUUUA